rnacentral:tRNA from 1 species
CGGAAUGUUGCGUAGUUUGGCCUAUCGUAUCUGUUUUGGGUGCAGAAAUUCGCAGGUUCAAAUCCUGCCAUUCCGA